rnacentral:rRNA from 1 species
GGGGUAAUGCCGGGAACUCUAACGAAACUGCCGGUGUAAACCGAGAGGAAGGUGGGGAUGACGUCAAAUCAGCACGGCCCUUAUGUCCAGGGCUACACACGUGUUACAAUGGCCGGUACAGAGGGCAGCUACCUGGAGACAGGAUGCGAAUCUCGAAAGCCGGUCUCAGUUCGGAUCGGAGUCUGCAACUCGACUCCGUGAAGCUGGAUUCGCUAGUAAUCGCGCAUCAGCCAUGGCGCGGUGAAUACGUUCCCGGGCCUU